UUGAACGCUGGCGGCAGGCCUAACACAUGCAAGUCGAGCGGAUGAAGGGAGCUUGCUCCUGGAUUCAGCGGCGGACGGGUGAGUAAUGCCUAGGAAUCUGCCUGGUAGUGGGGGAUAACGUCCGGAAACGGGCGCUAAUACCGCAUACGUCCUGAGGGAGAAAGUGGGGGAUCUUCGGACCUCACGCUAUCAGAUGAGCCUAGGUCGGAUUAGCUAGUUGGUGGGGUAAAGGCCUACCAAGGCGACGAUCCGUAACUGGUCUGAGAGGAUGAUCAGUCACACUGGAACUGAGGCACGGUCCAGACUCCUACGGGAGGCAGCAGUGGGGAAUAUUGGACAAUGGGCGAAAGCCUGAUCCAGCCAUGCCGCGUGUGUGAAGAAGGUCUUCGGAUUGUAAAGCACUUUAAGUUGGGAGGAAGGGCAGUAAGUUAAUACCUUGCUGUUUUGACGUUACCAACAGAAUAAGCACCGGCUAACUUCGUG
rnacentral:rRNA from 1 species